rnacentral:misc_RNA from 1 species
UAAUAAGUGUUUUAUGGCACUUUUUAAAUCCAUAUCCACCUUGUGUGCAAUGUCAGUCGAUCUUCUUCAUGGAGAUCGACCAAACAUCAACCUUUAUUUUUUAACUCUUUGUCUGAAAAAUAUUAUGAAUAGACAAUUCAAAAUA